UGGGGAAUAUUGCACAAUGGGCGCAAGCCUGAUGCAGCCAUGCCGCGUGUGUGAAGAAGGCCUUCGGGUUGUAAAGCACUUUCAGCGGGGAGGAAGGUGGUGAGCUUAAUACGCUCAUCAAUUGACGUUACUCGCAGAAGAAGCACCGGCUAACUCCGUGCCAGCAGCCGCGGUAAUACGGAGGGUGCAAGCGUUAAUCGGAAUUACUGGGCGUAAAGCGCACGCAGGCGGUUUGUUAAGUCAGAUGUGAAAUCCCCGGGCUCAACCUGGGAACUGCAUUUGAAACUGGCAAGCUAGAGUCUCGUAGAGGGGGGUAGAAUUCCAGGUGUAGCGUGAAAUGCGUAGAGAUCUGGAGGAAUACCGGUGGCGAAGGCGGCCCCCUGGACGAAGACUGACGCUCAGGUGCCGAAAGCGUGGGGAGCAAACAGGAUUAGAUACCCCGUGGCUAGUCCACGCUGUAAACGAUGUCGAUUUGGAGGUUGUGCCCUUGAGGCGUGGCUUCCGGAGCUAACGCGUUAAUCGACCGCCUGGGGAGUACGGCCGCAAGGUU
rnacentral:rRNA from 1 species